rnacentral:lncRNA from 1 species
AGUCAAAGCACAGCUUCGGCUGUGAAGCAGGAGGACUCAUCUGAAAUGGCUCUCGAUGAGGAAAUGGAGGUGUACGGAGGUAAGAGCCCCACAGUGCUCAAGUGGAAGCUUCAGGCCUGGCCCAGGCCCACCCCAGCCUCUGGCUCCCGCUGCUCAUCUGCACUGCUGCUGACUCACCCCUGACAGUGGGGACUUCAUUCUACUGUAUAACACCUUGAAAAGAUCUUGAUUUGUGAGAACAUCCCUCUUGUCAUUCAUGAUAGC